GUCGCCUCGUAUUGUAUCAAUCCGACUCGUUUUGUGAGAGUACGAUUUCUUGACGGAACGGACUCGUCGUGUGAAGCAUGGGCUCGCCGGCUCGUGGGCCGAAAAAGAGGGCCACAUCUUUAAGCUUUGGGAUGUCCGUGAAGCAUUUCGGAUACAUCGCAUUUGUCUCCUCUCCCGAGCUCCUGUGCUCCCCUGCUCACCUACCAGUCCCGUCUUCCCAAGAUUUCCAGAUCAAGCAGAGAGCCAUGGCGAACCUCCUCUCCUCGGCCCCGAUCCACGCGUCGCUCCCGGACUGCUUCGUCUUCCCGCCCGAUCAGCGCCCGCCGGCCUCCUCUCAGGCCGUCUCCCUCCCGGUCAUCGACCUCUCUCGCGGCCGCGACGAGGUCCGCCGCGCCGUCCUCGACGCCGGCAAGGAGCUCGGGUUCUUCCAGGUGGUCAACCACGGCGUCUCUGCGGAGGCGAUACGGGACAUGGAGGCGGUGUGCGCGGAGUUCUUCCGGCUCCCUGCGGAGGAGAAGGCGGCCUUCUACUCGGAGGACACGGACAAGCCCAACCGGCUCUUCUCCAGCACCACCUACGAGCUCGGCGAUGAGAAGUACUGGCGGGACUGCCUCCGCCUCGCUUGCGGCUCGCCCGUCGGCGACACCAAGAACAACUGGCCCGACAAGCCCAAAAAGCUCCGCGAGGUGGUGGAGAAGUUCGUGGAGCCGACGAGAGGCGUGGGGAUGGAGCUGCUGCGGCUGCUGUGCGAGGGCAUGGGGCUCCGUCCGGACUACUUCGAAGGGGACCUCACCGGCGGCAACGUGAUCAUCAACGUUAACCACUACCCGCCGUGCCCUGCCCCGGGCCUGACGCUCGGCCUGCCGCCCCACUGCGACCGGAACCUCAUCACUCUCCUGCUCCAGAGCACCGUGCCCGGCCUCCAGGUCUCCUACAAGGGCGACUGGAUCAACGUCGAGUCCGUGCCCAACGCCUUCGUCGUCAACUUCGGCCACCUGCUCGAGAUUGCGACCAACGGGGUUUUGAAGAGCAUCGAGCACCGGGCGAUGACCAACGCCGCGCUGGCACGGACGUCGGUGGCGACGUUCAUCAUGCCGGCCGCGGACAUCCCCAUCGGCCCAGCGGAGGAGCUCGUCGGCGAGGGCAACCCGCCGCGCUACCGCACUGUCACUUUCGACGAGUUCAUGCGCGUGUACAAGACCGUCGGCGCGCGGAGGGAGAGCGUGGAGAAGGCCUUCAAGCUUUAGACCUCAGCUCACCUGUAUCUGAUUUGGAGAACAGUUGCAGAGCAGCAAAGAAACUUGAUUGGUGAUCUAGCUACUAGGUCGGAGUAAAAUAAAUUUAAAAACAGCAACUGGUGAUUGUGAGGUGGAAAUCACGUUUCUGCUAUAUCGACGCUGCUUGAUUCGAGAAUACAAGUUCAAUGUGUGUCCGUGUAUCAUUUACACAUGGGUGGGUAAAAUCAUCGAAACAUGACACACACAUCUUAGAUUCUGAAGAUUUUUUAAGGUACAUCAUAAUGCCUAUCUACAU
rnacentral:rRNA from 1 species